ACAUAAAACAUUCUGCUGUUUAUAUGUAUAUUAUUUUAUACAAAUAUAUUGUGGUGGCAAUCAAAAUGUGCAUCAUUAUCAUUCAUUGUAAUUUUGGUUAUUGUAAUUUCGUCCAAAGAUUGUUUUAUAUUUUAUUUUUGAAAGAUCCAUGGAUUACUUAACCUCUCUAUGAAUAUUUUAUAUUUGAUCUCUCUUCCUUCCACUCCCUCCUGUUCAUUUUCAGUUCCAUCAAUGCUUUAUUCAAAAAAAUGCAAAUUUGCAAUGAUGCAAAAAUAUUGCAUCAUCCAUUUUAUACCAUAUUACUGUUGGAUUAAGAGUAGGCCAGUUUCAGUUUGUUAUUUGCAGAGUCAACGUUAUUAUUGCUUAUUUUCCCCUGGUGGUAAAUUGUUCAAGAAACAAGUAUCUCGAAAGAGGAAAUAAUUUGUUCGAACAUAAAGUACAUACGAAAAUAAUUUUUGACUAAUUUUUAAUUUUUCAAUUGGCUCAUAUUGGUUAUAUAAUUGAAUAUGAAAUUUUCAAAGGGAUAUUUAUUGGUAGAAAGAAAUAAUGAAAGUGCGUUGAAAGUGAGUUCUCAGUUGACGGUGGAGGUAGAAGAACGAAAAAAAGAACGAUAACAGAUGUGCCUAACUCGAGAAAAAAAAUUAUAUUGAUAGCAUUUGUGUAUUUAUUGGAAGUUCAAAGUGCGUAUAUUAUAAUUACACAUGUACUUUGAAACAUUUCGAUCGCUUCAAGCAUGAUUCCAUUAGAACUUUUUUCUUUUUUGGAUUAUCAAACGUGGUUGGAUUCCUUCAAACUUGAGUUCAUUUUCGUUGAAAUAUUUUCAGAGUCAUCUUUUCAACCAAACAGGUAACAAGUGUUUUACUUGUGUUAUAUAACCUUAAUUAAUUCAUCUGUGUAAUAAAAAAAAAAAAGACCAACAAUCAACAAGCAAAAAAAUUCAGUUUUAUUCAGAAUCCUUUAUUUAAAAAAAAUUUCUUUGCAGAAUAUUGUAAAGCGGUCGUUUAAAAAAAGUGCACCA